CAUAUCAGUAAGCGGAGGAAAAGAAACUAACCAGGAUUCUCUUAGUAACGGCGAGUGAACGGAGAUUAGCCCAGCACCGAAGCCUAUUUGCAUAUGCAAACAAGGCAAUGUGGUGUUUAGGCAAGCAUCUAAGACUGCUCGUCUAUUCGAAGUCCAACUCCGAUUAUGGCUUUGGAUUUGUCCCAUAGAGGGUGAAAGGCCCGUUCGAAUAGACAUUGUUGUAUUUGGGCUGUCUUUGUCAUGUUUGCUUUCGAGUCGGAUUGCUUGAGAAUGCAGUCCAAAGUGGGUGGUAAACUCCAUCCAAGGCUAAAUACUGGCACGAGUCCGAUAGUAGACAAGUACCGUGAGGGAAAGUUGAAAAGUACUCUGAAGAGAGAGUAAAUAGUACGUGAAGCUGAUUGAACGGAAGCUGGUGGAGUCAAGCUUCUUGUGUUUAGAAUUGACAUGGAGACUGUCUUGUUCGUGAAGAGUGGUGUGAAUAGCCUUCAAAUGGUUUAAUGGUUUUCCAUUUAAAGUUGUUUGGGCUAGUGGCUUUUGUUGUUCCAUUCUCUUCGGUCUCUUGUGUUAUUUCUUUAUGCAUGCAUCAUGGUCAAUGCACUUAUGGUGUUUAUCAGUCUAACUGAAUGUUUGCAAGCUUUGCUUACAAUGUUCGGGAUGGCAGGUGGUGGUUUUUAAGCCUUGGCUUUCUUGUCACGUAUAGUGGUUUUACCUGUCGAUUGAUUUGCUCUUUACCAUCAGGUGUAUUGUAUGAAUUGCAUAUUCAUCGCUUAAUUAGAUGUUUAUGUAAGAGCCAUGAUUUUGAAGUAGACCUUCCUCCGGACCCGUCUUGAAACACGGACCAAGGAGUUUAACUUGCUCGCGAGUCAUAGGAUCUGUUUAAAUCCAUUGGCGUAAUGAAAGUAAACGGUUGCUUUUCGCUACCGAAGGUGUGAUCUUUGCAUGUUCUGAAAUGAGCUGCAGAGCGUAACACCGGCCCGUUUCGUAAUGUGGACAUGCUGGUCAUGGCUGGCGUGCGUCAUUGAGGCGGUGCAAGAGCGAGCAGGUUGAGACCCGAAAGAUGGUGAACUAUGCUUGCGUAGGUUGAAGCCAGAGGAAACUCUGGUGGAGGACCGUCGCGGUUUUGACGUGCAAAUCGAUCGUCAAACGUGAGCAUAGGGGCGAAAGACUAAUCGAACCAUCUAGUAGCUGGUUCCCUCCGAAGUUUCCCUCAGGAUAGCUUGCACUCAUUUGUUACAGUUUGAUCCGAUAAAGCGAAUGAUUAGAGGUAUUGGGGACUUAAUGUCCUCAACCUAUUCUCAAACUAUUAAUGGGUACGAUGCAUGGCUCGCUUAAUUGGAGUUGUGCUUUGAAUGUGAGUGCUAAGUGGGCCAUUUUUGGUAAGCAGAACUGGCGCUGUGGGAUGCUCCGAACGUCAAGAUAAGGUGCCAGAUGUUGACGCUCAUGAGACAACACAAAAGGUGUUAAUGCAUAUAGACAGCAGGACGGUGGCCAUGAAAGUUGGAAUCCGCUAAGGAGUGUGUAACAACUCACCUGCCGAAUGCAUUAGCCCU
rnacentral:rRNA from 1 species